AUUGAACGCUGGCGGCAGGCCUAACACAUGCAAGUCGAGCGGAUGAAGGGAGCUUGCUCCUGGAUUCAGCGGCGGACGGGUGAGUAAUGCCUAGGAAUCUGCCUGGUAGUGGGGGAUAACGUCCGGAAACGGGCGCUAAUACCGCAUACGUCCUGAGGGAGAAAGUGGGGGAUCUUCGGACCUCACGCUAUCAGAUGAGCCUAGGUCGGAUUAGCUAGUUGGUGGGGUAAAGGCCUACCAAGGCGACGAUCCGUAACUGGUCUGAGGGGAUGAUCAGUCACCGGGAACCUGGAAACGGGCCCCACCCCUACGGGGGGGCAGGGGGGGGAAAUUUGGGAAAAGGGGGGAAACCCUAGUCCAGCCAUCCCGGGGUGGUGAAAAGGGGUUGCGGUUUUUAAAGCCUUUUAAGUUGGGGGAAAGGGAGUUAAUUUAAACCCUGGCUGUUUUACGGUUCCCAAAAAAAAAGCCCCCGCCAAACUUCGG
rnacentral:rRNA from 1 species